GGGGCGCACUUCACUCGGAUCGUUCGGCACGUACCUGCCGAUGAAGCACAGUAAAGG
rnacentral:ncRNA from 1 species